GACGAACGCUGGCGGCGUGCUUAACACAUGCCAGUCGAACGGAAAGGCCCUGCUUUUGUGGGGUGCUCGAGUGGCGAACGGGUGAGUAACACGUGAGUAACCUGCCCUUGACUUUGGGAUAACUUCAGGAAACUGGGGCUAAUACCGGAUAGGAGCUCCUGCUGCAUGGUGGGGGUUGGAAGUUUCGGCGGUUGGGGAUGGACUCGCGGCUUAUCAGCUUGUUGGUGGGGUAGUGGCUUACCAAGGCUUUGACGGGUAGCCGGCCUGAGAGGGUGACCGGCCACAUUGGGACUGAGAUACGGCCCAGACUCCUACGGGAGGCAGCAGUGGGGAAUAUUGCACAAUGGGCGGAAGCCUGAUGCAGCAACGCCGCGUGCGGGAUGACGGCCUUCGGGUUGUAAACCGCUUUCGCCUGUGACGAAGCGUGAGUGACGGUAAUGGGUAAAGAAGCACCGGCUAACUACGUG
rnacentral:rRNA from 1 species